rnacentral:ncRNA from 2 species
AACUAUCUUUGAGGCAGGUGAGAGUCCUGACCGGUGGUAUAGUCCACAAACCUUUUUAGGCCGAUUCGGUGAAAUUCCGAAACCGACGGUAUUCCAACAUUUGAUAUCUGAUUGAGCAGUUUGUGAGCAGAGUUAAAUAGUUGGUUAGUCCGGAUGGGAAAAGAUGGAA